UUCCGUAGGGUAACCUGCGGAGGGAUCAUUACCGAGUUUACAACUCCCAAACCCAAUGUGAACGUUACCAAACUGUUGCCUCGGCGGGAUCUCUGCCCCGGGUGCGUCGCAGCCCCGGACCAAGGCGCCCGCCGGAGGACCAACCUAAAACUCUUAUUGUAUACCCCCUCGCGGGUUUUUUUAUAAUCUGAGCCUUCUCGGCGCCUCUCGUAGGCGUUUCGAAAAUGAAUCAAAACUUUCAACAACGGAUCUCUUGGUUCUGGCAUCGAUGAAGAACGCAGCGAAAUGCGAUAAGUAAUGUGAAUUGCAGAAUUCAGUGAAUCAUCGAAUCUUUGAACGCACAUUGCGCCCGCCAGUAUUCUGGCGGGCAUGCCUGUCCGAGCGUCAUUUCAACCCUCGAACCCCUCCGGGGGGUCGGCGUUGGGGAUCGGCCCUCCCUUAGCGGGUGGCCGUCUCCGAAAUACAGUGGCGGUCUCGCCGCAGCCUCUCCUGCGCAGUAGUUUGCACACUCGCAUCGGGAGCGCGGCGCGUCCACAGCCGUUAAACACCCAACUUCUGAAAUGUUGACCUCGGAUCAGGUAGGAAUACCCGCUGAACUUAAGCAUAUCAAUAAGGCGGAGGAA
rnacentral:rRNA from 1 species